UAAACACAGGAAGAAGGCCGAGGAGAAGUGGAUGUGGUUGGCUACAGAUCUUUAAAGAGAGGAUGUGAUCCAGCCUUGAGACAGUUUUCAACUGUAACAAAUGGCAUUGCUUGUGAUUGUAUCUAUUGUGGAUGAGGCAAAUAACUGCGGGGCCUGAGUAAUAGCUUCAACUGGGUGAAUUAUAUUUGAGGAAUGGAAGUAUCAUAGAAUCACAGAACAUCCUGAGUUGGAAGGGACCCACAAGGAUCAUCAAGUCCAACUCCUGGCUCCACACAGGACUACAUAAAAGUAAAACGGUAUGUCUGAGAAUGAAUACUGUGCCAGUCAUUCUGAAAUUAUUCACUUAUUGUGGUCAAUUAAUGCUCUUGAAUAUUCUGGAUAUGGAAGAAAAAUUCCAGGAGAAGAUCCCAUUAAAUUUCAGGGAGCUGUUUGUUUCUUGGCUCUUUGAAAAAAAAUGAAGUUAACUAGAAUACUUCUGUGGAAUGUGAAGAAGCCAGGUUUGUCUCAUUUUCUUUAGACCAGGAAAUCAAAUUGUUCCCGUUUCACCAGUCAGAGUGUCUGAAACAUCUGGCUGUUGGUUAUCCUGGUGAAGUGAGGACUCGCUGGAGUCUCUCCUGGUGGUACCCAUCCUCCUCUCACAACUGAAUUCCACUCGUGCAAGAGCUGGUGCCCUAACAGACGUCACAGUGGUACAACUGGUCAAACAUACCGAUAGAAAAGGCAGGUGCUGUACUGCAAAUCCCACUUGAAAUGCACGGGGCUUCAGUAUUUGGAAACAUGCCUAUACCUAGGAGAAGGUGGAAUAACAUAUUUGGAGAAUAUGAAUGCUCCAGAUACUACAUCUGAAAGAAAUGAUUGCCAAAGUGCUCAAGAGAGGAAAUCUCCAGACUUAUCCGUAAGACUUUCCUCUUUGCCUUGGAAAAUUACCAAGCUGGAUAAUUUCUCAGGAGUCAGAUUUUCAGAACUGCACAAAGUACGUGGAGUGCUUCCCCAUCGCCUCCCUUUCACCUAUGUUUUCAACGUAAGCUGCACUUUUAAUGACUUUUUGUAAAUCCCGAGUUAUGGCUUGGAGAAAGGCAUGCUGCUAGGUGGUGAUAUGAUUUCAUUGGGUUUCUUCGUUGCCACCAGGAACCUCACGCAGCCCAUGGGCAUGCCAGAGCUCAGCAGUGAAAUGCUCAGAAGAGCCCAUUUAAACCUUGGCACCGCAUCGCUGCAUUUGGGGGAUUUGUAACCUUUGCCAGCUUAUCAUAAACACCAUGCCUCGGUGGCACUUGCUGUGGCUGUAAUGCAGACCAGCACCUUCUGACUUCUGCUGUCUCUGCUGACUUCGUUUCAGAGAUUUCAGCAGAGCACAGACACGGUGAAAUCACCAUUCAGCAGAGCAGGGAGAAGCAACCUCAAACCAGCCCUUCCUUCCGAGAUGUGACCUCCCAAGCCACGUAGCAAUGAGGUCGGUGCUGAACUUCACCUAAAGUUUGGUGCCUCUGUGCCAUGCAAUUUCAUGUCAUAUCUGUUGGCUUUGUGAAGACUAAACAGAUGUCUCCCACACUGAGCUUUUCAUAUAAUUUAAUCCAUUCAUUUUCAUAUAAUUUAAUCCAUUCAGGAUGAGUUGAUGUUGCAAAAGGCAGCGUUUGGUGGAAACUCGUGAGUCUUGCAGUGCCCCUCGCAGUGUGCUCACCCACUGACCUUUCAGUAGAUGACUUGCUGAAGACAAAGUAAUGCUUUCUGUGUGACUAGGAAUUUUCUGUUUGGUUUUUAAUACCCAUUAGCUAAAAGCAAAAUGGCCUUCACUAAAAAGUCAAAAGGGGAGACUGCAAUUGAUUUAAUACUUAUAUUAAUUUAUAUCCAGAUGCCUUACUCUAUUUGCAAUUGUGUCAGCUCAUAGAAACUGUGUAAAAGGAAGCACCUCUUCCCAAAUAUCAUGUUUCUUUUUGAAUAACAUAUUCACAGAGCUCUUCGCAGGAGAGUAUUUGCAAUAGAUACAGUCUUUCUUGCAGUACGCUGCUGGCAUUGAGCAGCUAAUGCACGCUGCUUUAGUGUGCGAAAUGGGA
rnacentral:lncRNA from 1 species